rnacentral:rRNA from 1 species
UUCGGGCUCGGCUCGACUCUCCCACCCUUUGUGACGUACCUCUGUUGCUUUGGCGGCUCCGGCCGCCUAGGACCUCCAAACUCCAGUCAGUAAACGCAGACGUCUGAUAAACAAGUUAAUAAACUAAAACUUUCAACAACGGAUCUCUUGGUUCUGGCAUCGAUGAAGAACGCAGCGAAAUGCGAUAAGUAAUGUGAAUUGCAGAAUUCAGUGAAUCAUCGAAUCUUUGAACGCACAUUGCGCCCCUUGGUAUUCCGGGGGGCAUGCCUGUUCGAGCGUCAUUACAACCCUCAAGCUCUGCUUGGAAUUGGGCACCGUCCUCACUGCGGACGCGCCUCAAAGACCUCGGCGGUGGCUGUUCAGCCCUCAAGCGUAGUAGAAUACACCUCGCUUUGGAGUGGUUGGCGUCGCCCGCCGGACGAACCUUCUGAACUUUUCUCAAGGUUGACCUCGGAUCAGGUAGGGAUACCCGCUGAACUUAAGCAUAUCAAUAGGCGGAGG